ACUUCACCCCAGAGCCAAGAAAUCAAAGUGGGAGAGUUUCCCCUUGCUCUCCUCGCCUUCAUCUUCUUGCUGGCCGUCGGGAUGACUCCAUAACUGCCGCCCAAUGGCCGAUCCCCAGGAACACCGACCUCGCCACGGGAGCUCUGGAGCGUGGCCACACCGUCGUCAAAGCGCAGCCGUGGGAUCAUGUCGCCAUUCCCGUCGCCUUAAGCUGAAUCCGGCUGAGUUGCUGCGCCACUGAUUUUGCCUCAUCGUCUUCUACAAAAUGCCCCAAGAAUCUCACGGAUCUAUGCAGCGAGGAGGGAGAUCGACCACCGCCUUCUCCGACUCCGACCUAGCCCCCCCGUCGUCGAUUCCUGUUCAAGCGGUGAGCCAUUUGUCGAUUGUUUGCAGUAGUACCAACCUUAGGUGGUGUUCUAUGUCAUAAUCACGCCGGAGAGACGAUGUAAACCACGUCGCCGAUGAGAUCACGGCCAACACACACACAAAAAAAAAACUCAUGCGAACAGAGGAACACGGUCUUGUUUGGUGCUGCUGAAUUGACAGCUUUUCCAGACUAUUCCAUUGCUUAAAAUAA